AACGUAGGAGGCAAGCGUUAUCCGGAUUUACUGGGCGUAAAGCGCGUGCAGGCGGUUCGGCAAGUUGGAUGUGAAAGCUCCUGGCUCAACUAGGAGAGGUCGUUCAAUACUACCGAACUUGAGGGCAACAGAGGAAGGUGGAAUUCCCGGUGUAGUGGUGAAAUGCGUAGAGAUGCGGAGGAACACCAGUGGCGAAAGCGGCCCGCUGGCCCGCUCCUGACGCUCAGACGCGAAAGCUCGGGGAGCGAACGGGAUUAGAAACCCCGGUAGUCCGAGCCGUAAACGAUGUUGACUAGGCGUGCCAGGCUUCAACUCUUGGCGUGCCGGAGCAAACGCGAUAAGUCAACCGCCUGGGGACUACGGCCGCAAGGUUAAAACUCAAAGGAAUUGACGGGGACCCGCACAAGCAGCGGAGCGUGUGGUUUAAUUCGAGGCUACGCGAAGAACCUUACCAGGGAUUGACAUGUAUGUAGUAGUGAAGCGAAAGCGGAACGAGCCUUCGGGCAGCAUACACAGGUGAUGCAUGGCUGUCGUCAGCUCGUGCCGUGAGGUGUUUGGUUAAGUCCACUAACGAGCGCAACCCUUAGAACCAGUUACAAGUGUCUGGUUCGACUGCCGGUAUCAAGCCGGAGGAAGGUGGGGAUGACGUCAAGUCAGCAUGUCCUUUAUAUCCUGGGCUACACACACGCUACAAUGGCCGGUACAGAAGGUUGCGAAGCCGCGAGGCGGAGCCAAUCCUGCAAAGCCGGUCUCAGUUCGGAUUGGAGGCUGCAACUCGCCUCCAUGAAGUCGGAGUUGCUAGUAAACGCAGGACAGCCAUACUGCGUUGAAUACGUUCCCGGGUCUUGUACACACCGCCCGUCACGUCAUGGGAGCGGGUUCUGCCAGAAGUAGUUAGCCUAACCGCAAGGGGGGCGAUUACCACGGCAGGGUUCGUGACUGGGGUG
rnacentral:rRNA from 1 species